rnacentral:lncRNA from 1 species
AGGUACUAGCGAUUCCACUGGGCGCUAUAGGCAGGGCGCACUCACCGAACUCCCCAAUCCCUUCCAGCCUCAGAGCCCGCCUGGCAGGACUACUGAGCAAGGCCUUGGAAAAUCGGAGCGAUUAGAGCGAAGUGCUUCGGUCAGGCAGUAUCUUUGAAAAUAAUUUGGCCAAUGAAAGCCCUGGCAUUGGAUGAAAGUGCUAGCUGCUGGGAAUGCUACCCCUCCUUUUGGUUCUCUUUCAAGUCCUUCAGGUUCAAACAAUACAGAAGUGUAUAAAGUAAGAAUUGAAAGUCUCUUCGCUGCUCUAAUCUCACUCCUCAGAGGUGAUCACUGGACCUGAGUGAGCAGAAGGCUUUUCAGAAUUACAGCCUGAACUAUUUCUUGAGCAAUUUGGGAACUCAUUUCUAAAGCAGUCCUCAGAUUCACACAACGUAGUUUGUGACGGAGUAUGCCCAGAGCAGUGUGGAAGAUGAUCAAAGUAUGACAUUUCUUCUACCCCAGAGGCUGGCAUUUCUGCAGGCACAAAUGAGCUUGGUUUUCAAGCACUGCUCUUUGAACACAAGGAAUUCCUUUAAUGAUCACGCCGGACUAUAUAGACUUUGGAAUCAGACUCUUUGAAUUCCAGCUCUGCCAUUUACCAACUUUGACACUUUGGACAACGUCUCAUUCUGUCACCCAGGCUGGAGUGCAGUGGCACAAUUAUAGCUCACUGCAGCCUCAAACACCUGGGCUCAAGCAAUCCUUCCACCUCUGCCUCCUGAGUAAUUGGGACUACAGGCAUGUGCCACCACACCCAGCUAAUUUUUAAUUUUUAAUUUUUUUGUAGAGAUGGCGGUCUUGCUAUGUCACCCAGGCUGGUCUUGAACACCUGGCCUCAAGUGAUCCUCCGGCCUUGGUCUCUCAAAGCUCUGGGAUUACAGACAUGAGCCACUGCACCCGGCUCUAUCUCCCCUUCCUAUGUGUGUUAGCUCUAGAACAAGAGAAGCCUUGUUGAGAUUCCUGGCUGCCCACCCCCCAUCACCUCUCUGACUUUGGGCAAGUUGCCUGGCCUCUCUCAGCCUUUAUUUUCUUUUUGUGAAAUGGGGAUAAUAAUAGUACUUGCCUCAUAGGCAAAAUGUUGUGAGAACUAAACGAGAAAAUGCAUGUAAAGCACUUGGCACUUAGUUCUUUUUAUGAUUAUAAUGAUAAUCAGACACAAUAAAUUAUGUCUCACAUCA